rnacentral:rRNA from 1 species
GAAGAGAGCUUGCUCUCUGAUUCAGCGGCGGACGGGUGAGUAAUGCCUAGGAAUCUGCCUGGUAGUGGGGGACAACGUCUCGAAAGGGACGCUAAUACCGCAUACGUCCUACGGGAGAAAGCAGGGGACCUUCGGGCCUUGCGCUAUCAGAUGAGCCUAGGUCGGAUUAGCUAGUUGGUGAGGUAAUGGCUCACCAAGGCGACGAUCCGUAACUGGUCUGAGAGGAUGAUCAGUCACACUGGAACUGAGACACGGUCCAGACUCCUACGGGAGGCAGCAGUGGGGAAUAUUGGACAAUGGGCGAAAGCCUGAUCCAGCCAUGCCGCGUGUGUGAAGAAGGUCUUCGGAUUGUAAAGCACUUUAAGUUGGGAGGAAGGGCAGUAAAUUAAUACUUUGCUGUUUUGACGUUACCGACAGAAUAAGCACCGGCUAACUCUGUGCCAGCAGCCGCGGUAAUACAGAGGGUGCAAGCGUUAAUCGGAAUUACUGGGCGUAAAGCGCGCGUAGGUGGUUUGUUAAGUUGGAUGUGAAAGCCCCGGGCUCAACCUGGGAACUGCAUUCAAAACUGACAAGCUAGAGUAUGGUAGAGGGUGGUGGAAUUUCCUGUGUAGCGGUGAAAUGCGUAGAUAUAGGAAGGAACACCAGUGGCGAAGGCGACCACCUGGACUGAUACUGACACUGAGGUGCGAAAGCGUGGGGAGCAAACAGG